UUUUAAGAAAUCAAUUAAUGAUGAUGAACUGUAAAUUCAUUUUAGAUAGCACUUUUAAUCUUGAAAA
rnacentral:tRNA from 1 species